rnacentral:pre_miRNA from 1 species
UGUGUGCUAAGUGGUAUGGAGUUGGAACUUUUGCCUACUUUUCCCGAUAGGGGCGCUGUUCCAAGUCCAUACAAAUUUGAGUUA